rnacentral:lncRNA from 1 species
GAAGCUGCUAUAAUGCCUUUAAAAGUUGACGGUACACAUGCUUUCAAAUGAGGUCUCAUCUCUGAGUUAGAGUAAACUGUUAAGACUUAAAACUUACUCAUUUUACCUUUCACCAUGGGGCUUGUAACCAUCACUUAUGUCUCUUAUUCUUGAUCAGCUAUAGCUCUGGAGUUUUUGCAGAUUUUGAAAUAAAACUCAGAGAUUCCUUUGUAUGACUCUCUCAAAUCUCUCUUUUGUGGCAUUUCUGGAUCCUUACCAAGGAAGUGAUGGUAUAUGCCUUCUCUCAAAGUAUAUAGUAUUUGUGGUAUAAGGCAUAGUGACAUUGCAUUCUCUCUCACCCUACUCUAAUAAGGCUUGAUAUCUGGAGCUCAUAGGUGGGAGAUAAAGUAUACAUACUUACAAGACAUUUAUUGCAUAGUCAAACCAUGGAUCCAGAGAAACAAGUCAAUAAGUCAAAUCAAGAUGUGCAUGUGUGGCGAGUGAAUGGUGUAUGGUGAUGAUGGUGAUAACAAUGGUGAAAGUUUAAUUCUACUUUUGCUCUUUUUAGGGGAUCCAUACCUUGCUUGCACUUAAAAGCUUCUUGAGGAGAAUGAGAUGCUCUAUUUUUUUUUCUUUUCUCUUAGGUGGGUAUCCUGUACCCCUAAUUCUACUGUCGGACACUUGUCCAUUUUUACCUCUCGUCUCACUUUUCCUUUUCCUCGAGGCUCCGGGCACUUGCCCCUUUUUAUUUCCUCAUAUUUUUCCUUUUUCUUCUCUUUUUAGAGGACUCACCCUCGUGGAAUAAUGUAGCAAGUGGUAGUAACCAUAAUAUCUUGAACAUUUAUUUCACAGGGAAAAACAGGAAUGGGAUAAUGUUUUUGGCUAUUCUCUCCCAGAUAGGAGUAGAAUAAUUUUAGGUGAAUCUGGAGAUGGAAUUGAGUGGAUGUAUGUGGAUGCAUACUUCCGGAGUAGAAGUAGCAUGUAUGAGUGAACGUGCAAGUGAAUCUUGAUUUUAACCGCAUGACAAGCUCCUAAGGGUUUACACAGCUUGACCACACACAAAGCUCAUAAGCAGUAAAAAGUAAAUGUAUGGUUCAUAGUCUAAUAAGCAUGUAUAUAUGCCUAUGGUAGGAUUUUAAACUCUCAUCAUACAGGAAAUCAUCAUGCAACAUAUUAAAGAUUUUCAAAGAUAAAACUCUCCAGAAUUCUAGCAUCUCUAGGAACAGAUAAACAGCAGCUCAACCUUCCCAUAUCGUAUCCGUUAAUGACUUAGACUUUAGAUCAAGUACUCUUCCCACAAGUUCAGGUUUAGAGCAAAUCUUAAUUUAUAACAAUCAUGCCUAAACUUGAGAGAGAUUUCAAUUUUGAGAAGUAGUCAUGGCAGAGCAACUAUUCAUCAUUUCCACGUGAGAGCUUAUCAUGAGGGUUCAUAGCAAACUUUAUUUAUUUAUUUAUUUAGCAAACUAAGCAAAGAUAUAUAUAUAAGCACAAAAUCUUUAUUUGGGUUUUUAUGAUUAUGCAUAUUUUUAUUAUUUGAGUAAAGUAUAAACGCGAGUAGAAACACUUAGCUGGAUAAAUGGGGGUGCUCUCCCCCAAGCUAGAUUUUGACGUAAUUUCUUCUAAUGUAGCUAGCAGGUGGCAGAGGUGUAUUUGAAUGUUGGCAGCACCCUAACCAUGAUUAGAAUGUCCUCCAUCUGCUAGUCUUCUUUGAUCCUUGAAUUCUGUGGAGCUCAAAUAGACAACAAAGCUUUGUGGAACUAGUUAAGUGUUAGCAUAAAUAUCUAGCCAUUAUCAUGUUGAGGCUCCUCAAUAAAUGUUACUCUCUUUGGUAGGAUCAUAAAUUUAUUUUUAUAUUUUCAUUUUUAUAGGAUAGGAAUAUUUUUAUUUUUACGCCACCACAGUGAAUGUACUUAUGGGUUUUAUGCCAUGAGCAUACUCACAUGGGGCUUACUGUUUUAAGAUUUUUAAUUUCUUUUCAAGAUAGCAUGAUUAACUAACAAGCUAUUUAUGGAAAGUAAAUAAUUUAAGGAAAAAGGGAAUGCAGAAAGGAUAAAUAUGGAUAGCUACUGAUUUUACCUUUCGGCGAGGGUUCAAUGUUUUAAGUCUUCUGAACAAGACUUCUCACCGUGUUCAUUCUUUAGGUGCGUCAUUUGAUUCAAGUGUGGACCUUGACGUCUGCACCUCUUGAUACGGUGUCACCCAUGUUCUUCGUUUGCCCAGCAGUUCGAAGUGCGGCGUUGGCAGCAUCCUGCUCUGUGUGUUUGUGCUCGUAGAUCCAAGUCCUUCACUUGGUGGUGUCUAGGAGUUAUAAAACUCCUCCAUGUUAUGCUCAAAGUGUACCUGCUCAUAGAGACAAGGUAGAGAUCAAGUGCAUGGGCCCUGUUGGUGGAAAACACCAACAGAACCAAAAGUGUAUUUGUUCUUCUCUAACCUUAAGCAUAGUGAGCAAGACAAAGUUGAUGGAUAAUAACAUCAUGAGUGUAGCAUUUAAAACAUUUGUCAGAUCAGAUCACUCAACCUAAUUGAAAGAUAAUCUAUCUAUAUUUAUGUUGUUUAUAUAUCUUCCAAAGAUUGAGUGUGCAACAUUUUAGCUCAUAUGAUUAGGAGUGUGGGAUCACAAAGGUGGAAGUACUAAACAUGUUGAAUCGAUUGGGUUGGUUAAUCUAGAGUUGUAAAUCAUACAUGUUUGUCUCUUUUAUUCAUGUGAAUGCCAGAACCAAGGAGAAGCUUAUAAAAAGUGAUAGUCAAGUACCUUAAGAUGUUACCUUACUUGAAGAGUGAUGGUACAGUAUCACCUUGUGGAAGCUUUCCUUUCUUAGCGGUUGUGCACCGUGUUUGUGGCACCCUCCUUGGAUCAUCUCUUAUGAGCUAUGUCUUCCUUGUGUAAAUUGUUAAACUUCAUGUGUCUCUCUCUUUGUCUCCAAUGUGAGUUUAUCUCAGGACUUCCCAUGUUGAUAUUGAAAGUUUUCCUGUAGGGGUUAGUCCAACAAAAUAUCCAAUAUCUACUAUAGCAUACUAUCGGCUCAAAAAUCAACCUAGACACCAUGCCUAAUUUGAUUUAGGAGGGCAUUUUAACCUAAGCACCAUGCUUAAUUUAAAAUCCCUUGGAAGUAAGAUCUUCAUUCCUAAACUAAGCACCAUGCUUAUUUAGGAGAUAAAUGAAACUACUCCAAACCUAGACAUAUACUAAAGCAAAUAAAGGUAGCAUGAGAGCAUUUAUAGAGAUCUACUCAAGUGGAGAUGAAGUAGUGUGAUUAGUAUUUAACAAAUUGAGCAUGUCUCAAAGGUAGGGACAACCCACAUAGCAACAUGGCAAAGGAUGUUUUUAUGUAAAGUACUCCCCCAAGCUUGAAUUUUGCAAAAUUCAAGUUUGGAUGAAUUUAAUUCAAUGUUGUAUGAUGAUUGGUUGGACAUACCUUGUGCUUGUCAUUUAUCCGAUCUUCUUGCUCCAAUCCUGGAAAGGUUAGUGACAAGAAUACCCGAAGGAAUAUUUUUACAAUUAUCCUUAUAUGCUCAAUACACAAGGUAAUGUUGCGAAUAAUUAAAAGCUCAUGUUACGAUCUGAUCAGGGCUUAUUUUAGGACACUAAGCUUGUCCUUGGGAAACCAUCAAUUUAUGUCGGCGAAGUGGUUUCCCCUCCAACGCUGACCUAUAUCAAGAUCAACUCAACGAGAUCUGCAAUAUUUAUUAUAGACAUAUGCAUCGACAACCGCCCUUUUAAAGUUUUUAUAAAUAGAAAGGAAGAGGGGGUUGGAGAUCUCAAAUGUGGUGAUGUUGGAGAGACCAAUAGAUUGGGAAGAUGUUGCAUAUUACCAUGGAGUAAACGAAGUGGCUAUGAAAUAAAUUCCAUGCUCAUUAAUGUUAUCUUCGUCUCCAAUUUGAAUGUUUAUAGUUUCUCCUGGAUUGGUCUCGCCUAUGUCCUCUUCUAUAGUUGGAUGAAUCUCAUCUUCAAAGGGAGUCAAGAACUCACCAUUUGAAAUUGAGCCAAAGUCAGAAUCCAUUAAGGCUUCUUCCUUGUCCAUCCAUUCUACACAGUCUAGCCAUUUAGAACUUGUGAUCAGGAAAGGGGAGAUGUUAGAAUUUUAUAUAUGGCUUAGCUCUCCUUCUAUGAUAUUACUUGACAUGUCAUCCUCAUGGUAUUUAUGACUCCUAUGCUUUGAUCAUCUUGAUGGAUUGCUAGGAUCAUCAUGAGACUGAAAAGGAGAGGGAUAAGAGGGGUCUCUAAGGUCAAGGAUGGAUUUAGAAUUUGUGAACAUGGAAGGGGAGCAGAUAGAAUCUUCUAUAUGGUUUAGCUCUCCUUCACUUGAUAUGUCAUCCUCGACUUCUUCUUAACAGGAACCAGGACAUUCUCUAAGAGAACCAUUAUUGCAAGGAUUUGAAUUAUCCCUGCUUGAAGGUCUCUUAUGGAACUAGAAGUCUAAACCAUUAGCAUCUGAAAGAUUUAAGGUCAGAAUUCCAUCCUCCCUUGGAGAAUUUUAGGGUGUUGAUGGUUUAGGAUCGAUAGCUAAAGUUUGGGAUUGAAGUGGUUGUAAUUUGGCUAUCCAAACUUCCUCUUCUUGUCUAGGAGCUGAUUCUUUUUCUUUCUCAGGGAUAUAAAUGCUAGGAGACUUUCUGCUCAUUAAAUCAAUCAAAUUCCAAGCUUCACUAGUGGACGGGCGGUGGAAAGAUCCUCCAGAGGCUGCAUUAAGGGUUUGCUUAUUUUCCCUACUAAGGCCCUUAAAAAGUGAAUUAGAAUAACUUCUUCUGGAAUAGAAAGAUUUGGGCCAGUGAGAGUAGGGUCAAUAAAGCGGUCCCAUGAUUCUCCAAGAGAUUCUUCUUCUAGUUGUCUACAAGAAAGAAUCUCGAUCCAAAGAUCCGCCACUUUGGAGAUCGGAAAAAAAUUUAAAAGAAAACUAUUGUAUAGCUCCUUCCAAUCUCCAUGAGCACUUCCUAUGUUGAGUUUAUACCAAUGUCUAGCUUUUCCCGUUAAAGAGAACGGAAAGAGCUUCCAUUUAAGGGUCUCAUUGGACAUGCCUUCUAUGCGAAGGAGGUCACAGAUUUGUCCAAACUCUUCGAGGUGUGUGUAUGGGUUUUCCUCACCUUCUCCUGAGAAAGGUUGUUUUUGAAGAAAUUCUAUGUAUUCCAGGCUUAUCUCAAAACUAGAUGUCAUGAUAGGCUUUGAAGAUUUUGGUGGUUCGAGAUGUGUGCCUGUAGGUCUAUUAAACUGAUAGAUAGACAUGUUUGCCUUCAUGAUAGACCGGAGAUCAAGGAUUAGAUAAGAAGAAAGAAUAGUAGAGAUGAGGCAAAGGAUAAAAGGAAAAAUAUAUUAUUAUUAUUAUUUUAUUAUUUUUAGAAAAAUGAUUAAGCUAGUUCGUAGUCAACUCAGCAACCGUCUCCCCGGCAACAGCGCCAAAAAAACUUGUUGACACUUGCUAACACCACUUGAAUACUAGGUUGUCAUCCCCAACAUGGGACUAGAGUGUACUAUGGUAUUUAUACGCACACAGAUAAAUCCGCAAGCGCACGGAUACCGUUGUAGAUUUUACCCGGUUAAAGGAUUUAUCGUAUCUAUAGGGAAACGGGAGAACCAAAUACGCUCUAACUUAACCAAGACAGACAGGUGGGUGUAAAUAGGAAAUGUGAUAGAAUUGAAUAAGAACAAUAUUAAAGGUAAAAUGAUAAUAUGGGAAUAUAGAGUAGAGCAAUCUAAUAUAUGGGCGAUAAUAGGAGAAUAGAGAGGAUAACUAGGGUUUCUCUACUUCAAAGGGGUAUGUCUGUCUGUGCCGUACCUUAAGUAUAAAACAACACAGAGGAUGCUUAUACCUAAGGUCGAGGACUCCUACCAGUCCUGCUAACGGGAGGUGGACUACAGAGGACCAUCGUAGCUUUCACCUACGUGGCCUACCACACGUUCUGGCUAACAGGGGAUAUCCACAAGUAAUAUAGGCCUAAGCACCAUGCUUACACCUAUACUACAACUCUCACCUAUAGCGUCCUAUAGAUUAAAGUACUCAAAAGAGUUGUGAACCAGAACAUACAUGGAUAGUAAUUGCAUAAUGAAAUAGAAGUAGAUUACCAGAGUCAUCCCAUGAGCAAGCUUGAGUAGAGCUUGAUCAUGGCGAAGUACAGCCGGAGGAAGAACCGAUCGGCCGGCCUCUCCUCCAAUCCUCCCUUGCUCUCCAUCUCGCUAUAAUCUUGAUCUACUCUAGUUUAGAGAAGAGAGGAGAGCUCUCAUCUCCAAACCCUAGCUUUUGCUCUGUCUAUGAAUAAUGAAUAGGGAUUCAGAGGUGUCUUCUCCAGGGGGCAGGGGGCUGCUUAUAUAGCCCUUCCAAAUGAACCUGGGCUGUCAGAUCAAACCAACCUUAAUUGCACGGUUUUCCUUAAUCCUUUAGGUCGGUGGAGCAUAAUCCGCAAGGCGGAGCCUGAUUGGCUGCCAGAGCAGGGCGAGCGCCCUGUCCUCGGGCCCGCUCAGCCUCCCGUUCGUUCUUGUGGCUUCUGGACUCUUCUAGAUAAUAGAAAAUGGGCGCACACGUUAAUAUCUCUAUGUAAAUCCGACGUGUGGGUCUUUCCUCCAUAUUUCCUGAUAACCCCCUGCAAAAAUAGACAAACACCAAAACUCGUGGAAUUCUGUCAGAUAAAACCCUAAGUCUGGGUGUUGGUUGCAUUUGGAUCCUUUUCUUUAUUUAUUUGAUGAUUAUAUUUGGUACUUAAGGACCGUCAACAGAGAUCUAAUUCUACAUUUGCUCCUUGGUGAUAACGUACGUCCCUUAUUUGGAAAUGGAAGACUUUGGAGGAACUUGGCCUGCUCUCUUACUUUUUUUCUUGGGACAUUUGUCCUCUUCCUUUCUUUUCUUCCUCUCUUUUUUUUCUUGAGAGCAACCAAGCCUCUUACUCGAAAUAUAUUAGUACAGAGUGUUAACUGGUGUAAAUGGAGCUUUAUUGGAUGACGAAAAAAGGAUAGGAUGGUGACAUAUAUUUUUGGUGUUCACUCCCAGUGUAGGAGUGGAACAUUUUCUAAAUGUAUGAAGUGGAUGCAUGUGAAUAGAGAAAUGUGUACUCCUAUGGUAGGAGCAGCAUUGGUGCAUGUUUCUAGGGUAGAAACAGCACAAGAUGCAUGGAGUGUGUAUAUAUGUGGGUGGUACUUCCAGUAACAGAAGUAGGACAGAGUAAAUGGAGGUGUCUUCUGAGGACAAAAGCAGCAUACAUCAAUGGAUGGAGAGCACAUAAUAUUGACUUUAACUGCAUGACUAAUUCCUAAGGGUCAACACAGCUUAACUACACGCAAUGCCUACAAGCAGUAUAUAUGGAAGUGGAUGGCUUUCCUAAUCUAGUAAGCAUAUAUAUUUGGCUGUGGUAGGAACUUAAACUCUAGUCAUACAGGAACUCAUCAUGCAUCAAUUUAAGAUUUUCAAAGAUAAAUUCUCCAGAACUCUAGUAUCUCUAGGAACAAGAUGGAUAGCAGCUCAAAACCUUCCCAUAUCAUAUCCGUCAACUACCUAGACUUAGAUCAAGCAUUCGCUACCCACAAGUUUUAGAUUCAGAGCAGACCUCAAAUCAAAACAGUUAUGACCAAAACUUGGGAGAGUUCAAAGUUGAAAACUAGUUACUUGAAAGGAAUUACGGUAGAGCAACUAUUUAUCAUUUCCAUAAAAGAGAUUAUUCUAUAGGGAUUAUUUUAGCAGGCAAUUUCUUUCAAUACUCUCCUAAAUUUUAUUUAGCAAACUUAAUAUCAAAUAGAAAGAAAGAUAUAGAUAUAAAUAAAUAGGGAAAUAUUUAUUUGGGUUUCUAUGGUUAUGCAUCUUUUUAUUUGUUUUAGAUUAACAUAACACACUUAAUAAAUAUGCAGAUAAAUGAGUGAUACUUAGCUGGAUAAAUGGGGGUGCACUCCCCCAAGCUGGAUGUUGACGUAGUUUGUUGGCGUUGCUGACUGGCAGUGAAGGUGUACUGGUCCUCCUAGAGUGUUAGAGAUGGUUGCUGUUGAGACAGCACCCCGACAAGGGAUAGGAUGUCCUUCUGCCUGAUAGCUCUUCUUGAUCCUUUAAAUUCUGUGAAGCUCAAAUAGACAACAAAGCUUGUGGAACUAAUUAAGUGUUAGUGAUAAGCCUCUAAGCCUUGGUUGUCUAGAACCUUCUUAAAUCAUUUAGCAGGAUCAUAAGAUAUAUUUUUAUAUAUUUUAUGGUAUGCAGAAAAUGCAGUAGGAUGAAAACUUAUUUUUAUGCCACCACCGUUGACAUCUUUGUGGGUUGGCGCACCACAAAUCUAUCCACAUGGGGCUUAGCAUUUUCUAGAUACAGUGCUAAAAAGGGAAAUAUUGAUAACUACCAAGUUACCUCUUGGCAUAGUGUUCAGUGUUUUAGGUCCUCUGAACAGGACCUCUUACCAUAUUAACUCCUUAGGUGCUUUAUCUGGUCCCAAAGGUGGAGACCAUGAUAGUUGCACCUCUUUUCAUGGUGUCACCCAUGGUUAUUGCUCUUCCAGCCAGUUGGAGUGUGAAGUACUGGUUGUGGGAGCUGGCAGCGUCUUCGCUCAGUGUGCAUGUUCAUCGGUCAAGGAUCUUCACUUGUAGGGUUCUUGUGGAAUCAACUAAAGUGUGUCCUGCUCAUAGAGACAAGGCAAAGAUCAAGUGCAUGGGCUCUUUUGGUGGAAAAACACCAACAGAACUAAAUAGUUUAUUAUAAUCUAGCCUUAGGCACAUUGAACGAGGUAAAAUUAAUAUCCAUGUGUUUUGCUCUAUCUAAACAUGAGUGAUAGCAUAAAACAAUGAGCAAGAAUGUGGCAUUAAAACAUUUGGCAAAUCAGAUUACUCAACCUUAAGGAAGGAUAGUCUACCUAUGCAUAUAACUUUAUGAUUAUGACUAUCAUCUUUUAAGGACAGGAUACACAACAUUCUACAUCAUUGAGUUAAAGGCUAUAAGGCUAAGAAAGUGACGCUAGGAACAAGUAUAAAGAACUAAACAUGUUGAGUUAAUUAGAUUGGAUCAAAUGAGGUUGUAAAUCAAAGCAUAUUUGGCUCUCUACUUAUGUGCAUGCCAGAAUCAAGGAGGUUAUUAUGGAAGUAAUGAUCACUUACCUAGAGAUGUUACCUUUAGUAUUGUAGUAUGUUGAAGCCAUAACACCUUGUGGAAGCUUUCCUUGCUUGGGUAGUCAUGUGUCUUGUUCAUGCACCAACUAUCUUCUUUGUUGUACUCCUUAUGCCAUGAUUUGCUCUUUGUCUAAUUUGUGCUUGGACCUUUAGCUCUUCUUAUUAUUUUAUCUCUGCAAAUCAUUAGUAGACAACACAUACCUAAAGGAAUAUACAAGUAAUGAUAAGGGCAUUGUUGUAACAUAGCUAUGGGUCACUCUUUAUGCUACAAAGAACUUGCUUGAGCAUGCUUAGCAUAGCACAUUUAUUAUUCACAAUUACUUCUUUCUAAAGGAUGGAUUUUCCCAUCUUAUGUUUUGAUUCUUAAAUAUAGGCAUUAUAAAUCAAUUCAAACCUAUGGAAAUAAAGCAAUAGUGAAUUUAGAGAUUGCAAACCAGUGUGCGGAGCAAUGGGAGCAUGAGAUGUGGAAGAACUUAGUUGAAUCAUCUUGAGGAGUUGUGCUUCCUUCCUCAUGUCUUAGCUUCUCGACCUUAGAGGUGAGGGUGCAGAAUGUUGCAUGCUCUUCUUUUGUCAAUCUUUUCUUGAUUCCUAAUAAUUAGUGGUUGACAAGGGAAUGCAACUCCAUGGAGUGAGUGCUUCGAUUAUGGUUCAUAUUUUGUGGCACCCUUCUUUCUUCUUGGCUAUGAGUGAGUUGUAUCUUCCUUGUGCAAAAUUAUUGUAUCUCUUCAUCUCCAGUGUAAGUUCAUCUUAGGACUUUUCCAAUUUGAAUUUGGAAGUUUUCCUGCAGGGGUUAGUGAAAGGUCAUAAUAUGGCUAGAGGGGGGGUGAAUAGCCUAUUUAAAAAUUCUACAAACUCACUAGAGCAACAGGUUAGUAAAUAACAAAGCGUAGCUUUUUGCUCUAGCUCUAAUGGGGUGAUUGCAAGCCACCUAUUCAACAAUUAUAGUUGAUAUGAUCACUAGGCACACAAGAACUAUGUCACUACUUACACUAGAGAGCUACCUAAAGUUUCUAUACAAGUAAGUAAGCUACUCUAGUUUGCGAGAAUGUAAGAAAGAGGGUUUGAUAUUUAUACCGCCGCGUAGAGGGAAUGAAACAAUCACAAUAUUAUGAAGUCCAAUCACUGGGAGAAAUCCAAUGAACAAUCACAAUGGAGACACACAAUUUUCUCCUGAGGUUCACGUGCUUGCCGGCACGCUACGUCCCCGUUGUGUCGACCAACACUUGGUGGUUCGGCGGCUAAGAGGUGUAGCACGAACCUCGUCCUCACUAGGACACCGCAAGAACCUACCCACAAGUGAGGUAGCUCAAUGACACAAGCAAUCCNNNNNNNNNNNNNNNNNNNNNNNNNNNNNNNNNNNNNNNNNNNNNNNNNNNNNNNNNNNNNNNNNNNNNNNNNNNNNNNNNNNNNNNNNNNNNNNNNNNNCUUCAGCCGUCUAGGUGGCGGCAACCACCAAGAGUAACAAGAAAACCGCAGCUAAAACGAUUCUCAAGUGCCACUAGAUGCAAUCACUCAUGCAAAUGCACUAGGAAUCACUCCCAAUCUCACAAAGAUGAAUAAUCUAUGAACGAGAUGAGUGGGACGUGCUUGCUUAGGCUCACAAGGAUGUCAAGUAUGCUAGAAUGCCAAGAGUGUGAGCCCUAAGCCAGCCAACACGUAUUUAUAAGCCCCUCAAACAAAUAGAGCCGUUGGCUCUUUUACUGGGCAGAAACCAGAACCACCGGACGCACUGUUGGUAAGCCACCGGACGCUGCAACAGAGCGUCCGGUGCGCAUACAAGAAACAUUCUACCUCCUUCUUAAGGUGUGCCAACACCACCUGUGUGUAGCAACAUGUGCAAUUGUGUUAGCAUUUUCACAAUCAUUUUCUUUGAAGGAGUUAAGUUUGCUCACUAGGUUCUAAAAGCAUGCACAUGAACAAUGACACCUAGUGGCACUUGAUAACCGCUUAGCCAAAGAAUUCCCCUCUUUAUAGUACAGCUAUCUAUCCUAAAUGUGAUCACACACUCUAUGGUGUCUUGAUCACCAAAACCAAAACCCUAAGCAAUACCUUUGCCUUGAUCUCCAUAGGGUUUUGUUUUUCUCUCUCUUCUUUUCCAAGUUGAGCACUUGAUCAUCUUGUGGACAUCACCAUCAUCACCAUGAUCAUCUCUUGCUCCAUCACUUGGCAUGUACUAACCUUAUUAAGUCUACACACACUUAGUAUAGAUAUUAGUACUUAGGGUUUUAUCAAUUAUCCAAAACCAAACUAGGGCUUUCAAUCUCCCCCUUUUUGGUAAUUGAUGACAACCCUUUUUACAAAAAUUUUCAAUAAAAUUUUCUUGGAUUCAUGUUGCUUGCCCAAGCAUUUUACCAUGUGCAAAGGUUAUGGACAAGUUUCAUAAACCCAAAAUGGUUGCAACUGCUCCCCCUACAUAUGUGCUAAGAGUUUGGAUUUGAAAGCUUGCACAUAUGCUUGAAUAGGAAAUAUAGGAGUCAAUUUCUACCAAAUGAUGCUAAGGUGUAAAGAAUGGACCUUUGAAGCAUCAUACCAAUCGGAGUUGCCAAUGUACACCAUCCUUAGCAUCAUUAGUAACUAGACUUUCACAAGACUAGAACACCCCGUGAGAUCAACAUUAUAAACAAGGUUCUAGUACCACUUGUGAAAUAACUAAAAGUCUAGUUACACUACCUAUGCAUGCUAGUUCUUCAUUUCAUCAAUCAAAACUAUAACUAGCAUACACUACACAAGCAAGGCAUUGGAGAGAGAAUUUUUAAAGCUAAUGUCAAUGCAAGCAAACAUAUGUGUUGCACAUUCAAAUGCAACAUACAUGUUUAUGAGCUUGCUCCCCCUACUUGUGUGCUUCAAAAUUUUAAUUUAAUUGAUCCCCUUCUUUUAUCAUGUUACUCCCCUAUCUUUGUACUUCUCCUGUAAUUUCUCCCUCUUUGUCGUCAAUGACCACAAAAGGUGAGCUCAAAUUUUAGAUAGGUUAGUGUGAAACCAUGUGAAGUGAGAUCAUAUUCCCAAAUUGGUCCAAUCUAGAUUACUUACCUAAGAUAUUUAACUCGGUUUGAUCCAAGGACAAGCUUCUUCACACCUCCAAAUAAGGGUUAUCUUGUACCAUGUUGAGUUAAACACUUAUAGCUCAUAUUCUAGAUCAAACACUAGGAUUGCAAGCCCAAAAACAUGUCAUAUGCUACCACUAGAUCAUUUCAAGCAUAGAAGCAAUAGUGGUACCAUACAAGCAUCAAAUUCAUUUGAUUUUCAUGAAUGAUCCUAAGACAUGUAAGGAAUGACUAGACGCACUAAGCAAGUCCUUAGAAUAGGAUGAAUGAUAUGUCAAUCAAUUUUACCUUGCUUUGCUCGAAGGAGAGGCAUGUCAUAUAAUGGGGGUGCAUCAACACAUAUUUGAGAAGUCAAGUAUGUUCAAUUCAUUCCUUAGCUUGCAAAACCUCUUCUUAUAAAGUGGCUUGGUGAAUAUAACGGCAAGUUGAUCAUCGGUGCCUAUACUCUCAAUGCAAAUGUCACCUUUUUGUUGGUGAUCUCUUAUGAAGUGAUGGCGAACAUCUAUGUGCUUUGUUCUUGAGUGUUGAACCGGAUUGUUGGUGAGCUUCACGGCACUUUCAUUGUCACAUAGCAAUGACACUUGCUUCAAGUUGAUUCCAACGUCCUUCAAAGUUGCCUUCAUCCAUAGGAUUUGUGCACAACAACUACCGGCCGCAAUGUACUCCGCUUUGGCGGUUGAUAGUGCAACACUAUUUUGCUUCUUGGAUGACCAUGAGACAAGUGAUCUACCCAAUAAUUGACAUGUGCCCGAUGUGCUUCUUCUCUCAACUUUGAAUCCCGCAUAGUCCGAAUUGGAAUAUCCAACAAGUUCAAACUUUGCACCUUUGGGAUACCACAAACCAACAUUUUGUGUAUGCUUCAAGUACCUCAAUAUUCUCUUUGUUGCCUUCAAAUGACUUUCUCUUGGUGAGGCUUGGAAUCUUGCACACAUGCAUACACUAAACAUGACAUCUGGUCUUGAUGCGAUCACAUAGAGUAGGCUUCCAAUCAUAGACCGAUACAACUUUUGAUCCACCAUAUUUCCACUUGUAUCUCUAUCUAGGCUUCCAUUUGUUCCCAUUGGAGUGCUAAUUGAUUUUGCAUCAUCCAUACCAAACUUCUUGAGCAUGUCUUUUAUGUACUUGCUUUGACUCAGAAAUGUGUCAUUCUUCAAUUGCUUGAUUUGAAGACCAAGGAAGUAACUAAGCCCUCCAAUCAUUGACAUCUCAAAUUCAUUAGUCAUCAUGUUUCCAAACUCCUCACAAAAUUCUUGAUUGGUUGAUCCAAAUAUGAUAUCGUCUACAUAGAUUUGCAACACAAACAAGUCCUUGCCAAUUUUCUUGGUGAAGAGAGUGGUGUCAACCUUGCCCAUUUUGAAACCUUUAGAGAGUAAGAAGUCUCUCAAUCUCUCAUACCAUGCUCUUGGUGCUUGCUUAAAACCAUAGAAUGCCUUUCUUAGCUUGUAAACAUGGUUGGGUUUCUUGUCAUCUUCAAAACCGGGAGGUUGCUCAACAUAUACUUCUUCAUUGAUAUAGCCAUUGAGAAAUGCACUUUUCACAUCCAUUUGAUAUAACUUGAUAUUAUGUGCACAAGCAUAGGCCAACAAGAUCCUAAUCGCUUCCAAUCUUGCAAACGGGGCAUAAGUUUCACCAAAGUCAAGACCUUCAACUUGAGUAUAGCCUUGUGCUACCAAUCUUGCUCUAUUCCUUACUACUAUCACUACACCAUGACCUACUUUUCCCUAUACUCAUGUGUUGGGAAAACAAGGAUUUUAACAACAUAUAAUGUGUUGGCAAUUGUAUACAUUUUCCACGUCCCAUAAACUGUCGAUAAUGACUAUGUAAGCCAACACGUAAUGUGUCGGCGUUGCUCCUCCCAACACAGUAAGUGUCGGCGAAAGUUUUUAGACAAAAUAUGUGUCGUUGUAGCCCAACCAAACGACGGUCUAACUAUCGUUGAAGGAGUAGGCAGGGAACCACAAAUAGAACAAUUCGGGUGAGCGGGAAACUACACGCCAAAACAAGUCCUGCGCGGCAGCUAAAUGUUGAGCCCAAUAAAAAAGGCUGCCUCAGCGACCCAUUAGGGUUUGGACUUCCACUCACCAACACCAAGUCACGACUGAGAAACAAAAAAAAAUCGUCCACCACGCGCUGGGCGCCGCCGCACCAUCCCACCGCCGAGCGCCUGCAGGAGGACUCCACCACGGUCCCCAGCCGGAGCUCUGCCGUCCCCAGCGCCGAAUCCCACCGUGCUGCUGAGCCUUGCUGCUGAGCCCGCCGCCCCCAAUCCCGCCCUGCUGCUGAGCCCGCCACCCCCAAUCCCGCCGUCACCAUACCCGUGGAGGAGAUCCGAGCCUACGUCCGAGAGGAGCGCCACAGGCCAGCGCACCCGAGACCAGAGAGGAAGGCGCCCGUGGCCCUGAUGAAUCCCCCGGCUCCCCUGCUCGGUGUGCCACCGACACGCCGCCGGCGUCCGGCCCCGAGGUCAGCAGCCUUCAGAUUUUUCUUUGACUUUGAGAUUUGAACUGGCGACUAGCUAGGGCCAUAUUGUUUGUUUCUGAAGCUACAUUGGGAAGAGAAUGCAGCUUAAUUGACAUGGAAAAUCUUUUAUUUUGGGGGAGAAUGUACUCAAUUACUCAUGUUGAGAAGUGUGUGUGUGUGGUGGCUUCUAAGCAGCAAGGGCUGUAGGUGUUUAUGAAAAGUUCAAUACUACAGUUUUAAACGUUUUUAGUUAUAUUUCAAUCUAAAAUCAAUGUAUGGCUUGCAGCACUAGAGAAAGUAGGUGCAUGCAGAGAUAGUGAUGUUUCCCAUCUUACACCAGCUCUGUUGCUCUUCUUUCUAGUAGAAUAAUGACAUGAGUGACAUGGUUUGUUGCUAGGAGUGGUAUUCAGCAUUUUAGUCUUGUCAAUAGCAUGCAAUUUCUGCUGCAACCUUUCAGUAUGAGGGGAGCAGCCAGGCAGAGACCUGUCAAGUAAUGAGGAGAGUGUGCGAGUUCGCAUUGCUUCUGGUUUACGCAAUUACACAACGCUGUUUAAUGGCCCAUUCCCAAUAAAACAGUUUACUGCUGUGUGUUGUCAGUCAUUACAACUAAGGUCCAAGCACUAGUACCAUUCUACAGAUUGAGAUUGUGCACUGCUUUGCCAUUUUGUUCAAUGAAAAAGGAGUCCAUACCCCACACCCACAAUAGGCUAUAACCAAGGAACAGAAAAGUCUACAAAGGCCAACAUUGGAGCAUAGUAUUUUUUAUGGCCCCCAUGCGCAUACUAAUUUUCAUUACAUGGAUAUAGUAAAGUAAUUAUAUGAAUGCUUUUGCUAUUUAUUGGAAUUGGCAUUGUACUUCAGAGGCUGUUGUUUAGUGAAAAUGGCAUGGUGUAGUUUAGUUAUGUGAAAUUGUGUUCUGUUCUUCAGAUUUGUAAAUUUCAAGAUCUUGCACACCACACAAUCCAUCAGCUUGCAUGUAUAUUCUUUUAUGCUAUGUCUGCAACUUUUUUUAGUAUGAUGGCAAAGUCCACACUGAUGGGAGUUCAUAGUCACUUUACUUUGGUCCUUUAUGCGAGAAAAAACAUGUUGUGUUUAUUCUAUAUACAAAAAGUUUGAGAGAAGAAAUCAAUUGAACUUUUAGUUGCAAAUGGAAGUAUAAGUUUGUCUCCUCGCUGCACUAUAUCAGUUCUGAGUAUUUCUUUCUUUCUUGUGCAUGUUGCAAAAUAUCCAAUAAGGAAGCACUAAAGGAUUCAAGGCUUCAAUUGUUCUUUCUACCCACCUAUAGCUUUGCAGUAAGUUUGCUUUUGCUCAGGUUUUUGACUUAUUUGUAUUGCCUUGUGAUUAAAUAGUGUUGGCAAUAUUAUCUACAGGGAGCACGAGCAAGUUGCCCUUCUAGUCUUCAUCUGAUCUUCUAUUGUCAUUGCUUUAUUGGUAUGCUCUCCUUUUCUUAUGAACUCUAUCUCUUCAUUUGCUAUAGAAUUGCAGGUUAUGUGUUCUGCGAUGCCAUGUUUUUGGUUUCUUAAAACUAGACUAAAUUUCCCCUAUAGUUCAUGUUGAUGUCCUGUGGUGAGAUGAUUUUUUUAGCACUAAGUGUGGUAAAAUUGAUUUGAUUUGGACAAUUAUUUGGCAAGAUUUUUAUAUGUUUUUGGUUGAACAAUCCAAUCUGAAAUGAGAACUGUUGUGUAUAUGUUUCACUAAUUGACACUUCAUUUUGUAAAAGGUGCAUCAUGGAUAAAACAUGGAUGGAUCAACCUAGGUACAUUAUAAAUCUAUAACCAUAUACUAGAAUCUGCGUGCAUAGGGUGUUUGGUCUGAUUUCUUGAUAAUCAUGUGUAGGCAAACACUUGUGUAUAGAGAAGGAGUGGAUAUGUUUUUAGACUUUGCCUUUAGUAAUUCUGCAAAAGGAAAUCAGAUUUUAUGUCCCUGCAAGGCAUGCAAGAACUCUUGUUGGAGGGUCCGUACUAUUGUACUUGAGCACUUGAUAUGUGAGGGAUUUACGGAAGGAUAUAUAACAUGGGUGAAUCAUGGUGAACCUAGUUCUAGUUUUUCCAUGAAUAGCAGACAACAUGAAAGGGUAGAAGUAGGGGACCCAAAUGAAGAGGAUGAUAUUUCUGGUUUACAUGAAGACAUAGCAAUGGGUUUAGAUGUCAAGGGGGAUUUAGAAGAAAACAACACUAAGCAGCAUGAUGAGGAUGUGGAGGCUUUUUACAAAAUGGUAGAAGAUGCUGGCAAGGAACUAUAUCCAGCUUCCAAGUUCUCAAAGCUACGUUUCAUUGUAAGGUUACUCCAUAUCAAGUUUGUUGGGCGAUGGAAUAACAAAAGCUUCGACAUGCUACUAGAGUUAUUUAAGGAUGUCUUACCUGAAGAGUCAUCAAUUCCUAAAAACUUUAAUGCAGCCAAAAAAAUGGCAAAAGGUGUAGGACUUGGGUACGUCAAAAUUCAUGCAUGUGAGAAUGACUGCAUACUAUUUUGGAAAGACCAUGCGACCAAAAAUGUUUGUCCAACAUGUAAAACCUCAAGAUGGAAAUCAGAAAAGAGUAGUCCUAGUGGAAAACGUGUGUAUAGGGUUCCUAGGAAAGUUCUACGUUACUUUCCUAUAAAGAAAAGGCUGCAAUGGUACUUUAUGUACUCAAAAACAGCAAGUGACACAAGGUGGCAUGAUGAAGGGUGCACUAAUGAUGGUGUGCUGAGGCAUCUUGCUGAUGCUCCUUUUUGGAAAGAUUUUGACUCUAAGCAUCCAGUGUUUUCCUCAAAGAGUCGAAAUCUUAGACUAGCUGUAGCUAGUGAUGGCUUUAAUCCUUUUAGGACCAUGAAAUCGACUUACAGUAUUUGGCCAAUUAUUCUGAUCCCAUACAACCUUCCACCUUGGAAGUGUAUGAAGCAAUCAAAUUUCAUUAUAUCCUUGUUGAUCCCUGGACCUAAGGCACCUUGUGGUGAUAUGGAUGUCUUUCUUGAGCCACUAAUGGAUGAUAUGGUAGAAAUGUUUGUUGUUGGUGUAAAAACAUAUGAUGCUUCAAAGCAUGAAACCUUCCAACUGCGUGUUGCCAUAGUUUGCACCAUAUCUGAUUUUCCAAGCCUAGGCUAUUUGCUGGCAUGUGUCACUUCUAGCAAAGUUGCUUGUCAUGAAUGCCACUUAGAUACAUGUUCUUUCGAGUUGAAAAAGGGAGGCAAGUGUGUCUACAUGGGCCAUCGCAGAUUUUUAGAUGCCAAACACAAAUUUCGGUUUGAUGCAGAUUCAUUUGAUGGUACCACAGAACUUAGGCCAGCACCUAGACCUCUUAGUGGAGAGGAAAUAUUGGAGUUGACAGCAAAUAUAUGCCCAACCUUUGGAAAGGACCCAAUAACCAAGAAGCCAGCCAAGCGUCAGUGCAAUCCAACUACAGAGGGGUCAUCCAAGCAAAAACGUAGGAAAGUUGAUGAGCCACCAACUGUUUGGAAAAGGAAAUCCAUUUGGUUUAAGUUGCCAUAUUGGAAAGACCUACUUCUACGACAUAAUUUUUGAUGUUAUGCACAUAGAAAAGAAUGUAUGUCAGAAUAUUAUUGACACACUUUUGGACACUGAUGGAAAAUCCAAGGAUAACUUAAAUGCUCGCUUGGACAUCCAGGAACUUGGUAUUAGAAGUGAUCUUCAUCCUGUUAGUGUAGAAGAUGAUUUCUAUUUACCUCUAGCACAGUUUACAAUGAGUCCUGAGGCAAGGGAAGCAUUUUGCCAAGUAUUGAAGGAAGUGAAGUUUCCAGAUGGUUAUGCUUCCGAUAUGCACCGUAAUGUGCAAGUUAGGGAGAAGAAGUUAAUUGGAUUAAGGAGCCAUGACAACCACGUAUUGUUGCAGGACUUACUUCCCAUCGCUGUUCGGAAUAAAUUGCCAGAAAGAGUUAGUGCAGCACUAAUUCGUGUGAGCAAUUUCUUCAAGAAGAUCUACUCACCCACUAUCCGUAUCAGUGAUAUGCAAAAACUAGAGGCUGAAAUAGCCGAGACACUAAGUGUCCUUGAGACUAUAUUUCUGCCAUCUUUUUUUGAUAUCAUGGUACAUUUGCUGGUGCAUCUGCCAGCUCAAGCAAGACUUGUUGUGCAUCUGGGCAGUAGAGAGAUACCAAACUAUUUCCAAUUGCUAUUAAACAUAUUUGUAGUUAGAUUCCACACUAAAAUGGUUACUUCAUAGGUAUUUGAUGAGGUUGAAGGGCUCUGUCCGUACUAGAAGUCAUCCAGAGGGAUCAAUUUGUGAGGCGUACAAGUUUGAUGAGAGUCUUACUUUCUGCUCCAAAUUUUUGAAAGGAUAUGAGACUGGACAAGCAGAAAAUGGUGAAAGGAUGGACUGUGAAAUUUGCACUACACCAUUCUUUCAAAGCACGGGGCAAGCUUUGAGUGGCAAGUGCACUGUAUCAUUAGAAUACAAGACUUGGGUUCAAGCACAUAGAUAUGUAUUGUUCAAUUAUGAUAAGAUAGAGCCGUACUUGAAGUAAGCAACCCACACGACUUGACACACAUUGCAUUUCUCGUCUUAUUAUGUAUACAUUUCUCAAUGAGUACCACACCUUUGCAGCAAACAUUUGGAGUACCUUUCCUCAAUUGGUCGCCACAAUCAGCGACAAAUGACUCGUAUCCAUCAUGAAACUUUUCAUGAUUGGUUUAGAAAGCAUGUAAGUAAAGGCGUGAUUAACAUGCUCUGUUCAGAUCUAAUACACUUAAAUUAACUAGACAUAAUAUGAUAUAUUUACAGGUGGAAGGGUUAGUUGAAAGUGGUGCAGAAGUAUCGGAAGAGAUACAAAUUUUGGCAAAUGAACCUUUCAUGAUUGCAACAACUUACAAUAGCUAUGCAAUUAAUGGAUUUAAAUUCCAUACAUCCUCCUAUGAUGAGGGUAGACCUGUUCAAGGCAGUGGAAUAGCUUUGAUUGCCCAGACCUCUUGCUUUGAAAAUGGAAACAAUGUGGAACCAGUUAUGAGAAACAAGAUAUACUAUGGCAUAAUCAAAGAAAUUAUUGAGUUAAAUUAUCGCAACAAAGGAAAUAUAGUUUUGUUUAAAUGUGAUUGGGUGGACAAUCACAUUCAAGACAAAUGGGUAAAAAAAGAUCAAUUUGGGGUUACAAGUGUUAAUUUCAAGCAUUUGUUCAAUACUGGAGAAAAAAUGUUAGAUGAGCCUUUUAUUUUAGCAUCACAAGCUGUACAGGUUUACUAUGUUAAGGAAGGCCCAGAAUCAGAUUGGCAUGCUGUUGCCCAGUCAAAACCACGUGGUCUUUAUGAUAUGGGGGAUGACAAUGAAAUACGUAACCCAAUGCCUGAUUUGGAUACAAAUGUGGAUCUUAGUGGUCUUUUUGGAGAUGUUGUACAUGUAAGAACUGAUAUAGAUGGGGUCAUUGUUGCUUAAAGAAAGAGAAAGUAAGUCUCAAACGCCAUCAAUUGUUGCUGGUCCUAUGCAGAUUUUCCUUUGACAUUGUUGUUGUUUGUCUAAACUAAUUGUUUUUUUGACAACCAGUCUGUUGUUGAUUCCUUAGAUAUUUGCACUAUUACAUGAGAAUCCUGUACUAAUUCAUUAUUUUAGGAGAAACAAUGCCAAAAGCAGGGGGAAAAAGAAAAGCCGUGGACCGAACUGAUUGUGAGAAUGACAUGGAGCCAACUGUUUAUGAAUUGGAAAGGGAUGAAAACAUCAGGUUAAGGAUACAGAAAAUGCAAGAACUGAAUAUCAUGCCUACUACACAAGAACUUAAUGCCAUGCACCAAACAAAGAGAACAAAAAAGGUAUGUAUUCCCAUGAAUCUAAAAUGUUCUCAAACAACUAUACGAUCUGAAAUAAUUGUGUCCCAAAAUGUAGCCCCGAGGUCCACCUGAGGAAACAGCAACUGGACGUAACUUACGAUCUAGCUCUAGAGUAAGUGCGCCGCAGGUUGAUAUCCAGGCUACGAAUGAGCAUUCUGAGAAUCAACUUAAUGAAGGUAUUUGUCUCUUGUGACAACUCAUAAUGCAAUGCAUCAUGCUUACAUAAGUUGGGUGUACUAUGCUAUAUUGUUUUUCCAGUCGUUCCAGAAGAGCCCAAAAAAAAUGUUCGAGGACCUACUACGAAGGCUGAUAUCUAUGCAAGGCAAAAUAAACCUAAACUCCAAUUGGAUGUCAAUAUGAAUGGUCAGCCCUGUGGACCAUCACGCACUAAAUUUGCUAACUUCUUUGGAACACUUGUGAGAACAAAGGGUUUCCCAAUUGCACAUGAUGAUUGGAGGAAGGUCUGUCCACGCCAAAAGUAUAAGCUUUGGACAGAUGCAAAGGUACUAAAAUUGGUUGCAAAUUAUGUUCUGUAUUCAUGUGAUUGGGUCCUAAUUUACUAUUUGUGUGUUUGUACAGCUAUAUUGGCAACUAGACAGAGGUGUCUUCCAUUGGUUCAUGAGGACAGCAGCUACAAAGUGGAAGGAGUUUAAAGCAGAAUUGAAAAAGGUGUAUGAUGAUGACAUGGAAGAUGAUGAAUUGUAUGCUCUCUGCGAUCCCAGAGUUCAUAUGGAUGACUGGAAGUGGCUAGUUAAUCACUUGAGGAUUCUAGAGGCAGCUGUAAGUUACAAAUUGCUUGCUCAUUUUCAUAAUGUAUAUGGCGGAGAAACAAAUUGCUUGAUAAACAUGACAUAAUUUGGUAGGCCCGUUCUUUGAGGGGGAAAGCAAAUCGUUCAAAGCUGACCCAAAACCAUACAACUAGAAGUAAGAGCCAUGCACGUAUUGGUACUGAAAUGGUAUGUAAUGUCUACUUGUAGUUUGUUUUCCCUUUAUUCGUAUCCUGUGACUACAAUAACAUACAUAUGGUUUAGGGUGAGGAGCUAGGGCGCCCCCCUCGUAGAGAUGAAAUGUUUAUCAAAACUCACACACACAAGAAUGGAGUACCUCAUAAAGGAGCUGCAACAACAAUUGUAAGUGUGAUAAACACAAUAAUUUCUCAUGCCAUCAUAUUUUGCUAAUUUUUUUAUUUGCUACAGAAUGCCCUUCAAGAUGCAAUUAGAGAUAAACCUGAAUUGAGAGACAAGAGUAUCCAGGAAGGUGAUGCUUAUUCCUAUGUUUGUGGGGCAGAGAGGAAUGGAUAUGUUCGUGUUGUGGGUUUGGGGCCAAGUCCAGCAGAUUUGGACAUGCCUGGAGCUAGGAAAUGCCCAUCAACAAGACUUCAAAUGGAGAUAGAAGCUCGUCGGGAAUCUGAUAGGAAAGUGGAAGAUCUAUCAAGUCGUCUAGAAAUUAUUCAGCAAACUCUGGAUAGAUUGAUGCAGCAGCAAAAUGCCAAUAGCACUCCCCAUGGAUCUAAUAGUGCACCACAGGUGGCAAUUGUUAACCUAUAUUUCUUACUAUUUUGUUUGUCAGUGCAAUAGCUGUUCAAUGGUAUUUACUUUGAUUUAGAACUUGAGGGCUGCACCAACCUAUCAUGAUGAAGUACACGAAGAAGAUGAAGAACAAGAUGCUAGAUCAUAUGCAGGGGAUGAUAUGGCUGAUAUGAACAUAGAAGAGGAUGGCUUUGUAAGUAGACGAGUGGUCCGUCAAGAGGAGCAACAUAGUGAGGUAAUUUUCUUGUUCUGAAAUCCAGCAGGAUAGAUCAUAUAUUAGCACUAGCCAUAUCUCUAGAUAAUUAUAUAUUAAGGCCACGAAGAGAGCACUUUGUUUUCUUUUUUGGUUGAGCUCAGCUUGUUUUGAAAUCAGCAGGAUGGAAAUAGAGAUUUUUAUCAACUGUGUUAUCAUCUUGUUAGCUUUGUUCUGAAAUCAGCUUUUUAUCAACUAUGUUAUCAGCUUGUUCUGAAAUCAGGAACAAAUCAGCAGCAAUAGAGAUUUUUACAAUCAGUUUUUAUGGUGUUCUGAAUUUUUUUGAUGCUUUAGGGUGGCAGAGAUGUGAAACUAUAUAAUAUAGUAAGGCCCUAUGAAGUCCCUGUGGCAAAGGCUACUAUUCAAACAAAAAACCCAAGGGCUAUUGUUGGGGGUACUGCUCUUGGCGUGGAGUACUGUGAAGUGGUUGUGAACCAUGUGUUUAACCGGAAUGCAGUACUACCUCGUCCAUAUGAAGGGGUCACCACCAUUCUAGAGGCUCGUGGGAGAUGUAUUGCAUGGCCACAUGACAGAGUAAUGGCCUAACCUCUCUAUAUUCUUUAAAAAAUGAUUAUUAUAUUUUGAUUAGUAAUAUAUUUGUUUUCUACUAGAUGAGGGAUGACAAGUCACCUCGGCACUCAAAAGGUGGUGGCACUGGAAGGACAUCACAACUUGAAGGUAUUUUACUUGAACAUUUUGACUUAUAUAUUUGGUGCUUGUUGUUGCAAUAUUUUGAGCUGUUCCUUGUAAUCUUCUAUAUACACUGAGGUGCUGAUUCAGUAAGUUUAGCAGACACUCAAGCUAUAACUACUUUAUAUAGAAAUAGUAUCAGGUUGCUGCAGCUGCUCUUGCUCCAUUGAAUUCUUUAUUUGCUGCCAAUUUUUAAGCUGUUGGUACCUAAGCUUGUUGCUUGUAGUUGGCACGUCAUUGCUAACUAGAUCGAUUGAAAUUAUAUAAUGGGUCUAUAUAACUAAUUAGUUUAGAUCAUAGCUGUCCACUGUACAGUAAUACUAUUUCACUAUUUGGACCUAAUAACAAAGAAAAAGUUAAUGAUAUAGAGCAUAUUUCACUGAUAUUUCUCCUUCUUUUUCAUGUUAGGUACUUAAGCUAUGUGGUGUUGAAAAUAUUUUGGACUGGGCAACCUUUUGAGCUUUGAUCAGAGAGCUGUUACAUGUUCUCUAGAAUGGCAGCAACCAUAUGUGCACCAAGUUGUGUUCAAGUAUUUUGGAGUGGCAACAAGUGUCCAAGAAAUGGAAAUGUUGCAGGAAGACAUGAACUGCAGUUCUGUUCUUUUGUUUACACCUACUAGGCUACUAUCGUGUAGGCCAAAAACUUAUGGAAGUGUUGAAUGCCACUUUUGCGCCCAAGUCAUGAUCUAUUGAUCUCUUAGCUUUAGCCAUAACCAAUUAGUAUAUAAGACUUAGUAUAUGCUUAUAUAUAAGCCUGCUAGAGACUAAUCUACAUCCUGGACCUCUAUAUGUAUUGCUGCAUGUACUAUGAUCAUCACUUGACUUGUUAUGUAUGGUCAUCACUGGACCUAUAUAUGUAUGCCUCUAUGUACCAUGAUCUGCACUUGACCUGUUAUGUAUGAUCACCAUUGGACCUAUAUAUAUAUAUAUAUAUAUAUAUAUAUAUAUAUAUAUAUGGUUCUUUGUGCUAUGACCAUCCAGUUGGUGUAUGUAUGGAGAUCUGGUAUUUUAAUUCUGAUUAUGUGAAUUUGCUCGAUUAGUGUGAUGUGUAUUUAUUAAAAUUUUCAAAUUGUAUCUACACCCAACUAUCUGCAAUAUAGCUUUGCCGACACUUCUACUGUUGGACAAGGCAUGGUUUAUGAAACAUCCUGGAAACGGUUUCGUUAACAUACGAACUGUCGGAAAAGGUCCAAACUGUCGGUGUAGGUCUAAACUGUCGGCAAAGGGUUCACUGUCGGUAAAAGUUAAACUGUCGGUGUAGGUACGAGAUUUGGCUACACAAUAAGUGUCGGCGAUGCCAUUAACUGUCGGCAAAACUUUUGCCGACUGCUUCAACCGCGACUGUUUGUAAAUUGUCGGCAAAACCUUUUGUGAGACGUUAAGUGUCGGCAAAGGUACCCUUUGACGACAGUUUGAAGUGUCGGCAAAGCCAUGUUGUGUUAUAGUGUAUCCCAUCUUGAUCUUGCUUGUUGCGAAAGACCCAUCUAGUACCAAUGACAUUACGAUCACUAGGCCUCUCAACUAACUCCCAUACUUGAUUUCUCUUGAAGUUGUUAAGCUCUUCAUGUAUAGCAUUGACCCAAUCAACAUCUCUCAAUGCUUCGUCAAUCUUCUUUGGCUCAAUGUCAGACACAAAGGAGAAAUGCUCACAAAAUGAUGCUAAUCUUGAUCUAGUUUGCACUCUUCUUUGAAUAUCACCAAUGAUGUGAUCCAAUGGAUGAUCUCUUGUAAUAUUUGUUGGUUGGAGUAUUUGCACUUGAUUGCUUGCAAUUGUUUGAUCAUGAGAUGAUGUACUAGCUUGUUGAUCUUGCACUUGUGUACCACUUGUACUAGCUUGAUUUUGAUCAUGAGAACCACUAGCUUGCACAUUAGAGGUAGGAAGCACUUGAUCUUUGUCAUCUUCAACAACAAUCACCUCUCUAGGCCUUAAAUCACCAAUGUCCAUAUUCUUCAUUGCAUCGGCCAAUUGAGUGCCUCUCACAUCAUCUAGAUUCUCAUCUUCCUCUUGAGAGCCAUUGGUUUCAUCAAACUCAACAUCAUGCACCUCUUCAAGAGUAUCACUAGCCAAAUUCCAAACUCUAUAGGCUUUGCUAGUAGUUGAGUAACCAAACAAGAAGCCUUCAUCACAUUUCUUUUCAAAUUUACUCAAUCUAGUGCCUUUCUUCAAUAUGUAGCAUUUGCAACCAAAAACCCAAAAAUAUGCAAUGUUGGGCUUUCUACCAUUCAAGAGCUCAUAUGGUGUCUUGUCCAUCGUUGGGUGACAAUAGAGUCGGUUGCUAUAGUAGCAAGCCGUGUUGAUUGCUUCGGCCCAAAAAGAAUGACUCACAUUAUACUCACUCAACAUUGAUCUUGCCAUGUCAAUCAAAGUUCUAUUCUUCCUCUCAACAAGACUAUUUGAUUGAGGGGUGUACUUGGCCGAGAAUUGAUGCCUAAUACCAAAUUCAUCACAAAGCUCAUCAACUCUUGUGUUCUUGAAUUUACUUCCAUUGUCACUUCUCACUUUCUUGAUGGUUGUUUCAAACUCACUUUAGGAAUAGGGAGCAUGAGGGGGUUGAAGAUCUCAUGUGGGGCAAUGCUAGAGAGAUUAAGUGAAUUAGGAGAUUGUUCAUAUGAGCAAGGGAUUGAUGGGGUGUUAAAGAAUUAUCUUCCUUGCCCAUUGAAGUCUCCAUUAUUUUCUACUUCCAAGGGUGACUCAUAUAUGUCCGAAAAUUCCCUUGGGUUAUCUCUUGAAUUGAUCUUAUCUAAGGCAUGGACCAUCCAUUCAAUGGCAAUAGCACAUAGGUUUUUAGUGCUCUCUAGCCAUGGAUGUUGCUCUUUAUCUUCUAUGUGGUCUUGAUGAUUCCUAUGCAUGGGAUAUCUAGAUGGAUUUCUAGAAUUGUCAGGUGGUUUAGGAGAAGGAGCAUAGUACAAGCCAUAGUGGUCAAGGAUGGGUUUAGAUAUGGGUUUGUAUUCUAUAUCUAAUGUGGGCAUAGAAGGGGAGAGGAUAAGAGUGGUUUCUAAAUGGCUUUGCUCUCCUUCUAUGGCAUCACUUGAUAUGCCAUCCUUGAAUCUUUCUAGUUGUCCUUCAAUGGGAUUGGAUUUGAAAAGCUUCCUAAGAAACCUCUUUUGAAGAUUCAAACUAUAAGCACUAAAAGAUCUCUUAUGACGUGGGAAGUUGAAACUUCUCUCAAAAUCUUCUUGAUGGUGAAUUUGGAGUACUACAGGUUUGGGAUCGAUAGCCAAAUCAUAGGAUUAAAUUAUUUGGAAAGUGGCUAUGAAAACUUCCUCUUCUAGUUUGGGGGAUGAUUCCUUCUCUACCUCUAGGAUUUUAUCAUGAAGGCUAGUGCAAGGGGUGUGUCCACUAAUAAUAAGGACAAACCUCACCCCUACUAACGGAUAAAGAAAGGAAAACUCCUCCUAAGACGGUAUUAUCAAGACCCAUAUAAAGAUGUUUAAGAAGAAUAGGGUCUCGUAGGUCUAGGCCUAAAUUUAUAGUAAGAUUAAAAGAUUCCCUAAGUGUAGCUAAAAGUUCAUUACCUACUUGAUCAGAAGAUAGGACCUUAGGUACAUUACCUUCUUGAUAAGAAGAUUGACUCUAGCUAUAGAAAAGGGUUGGCUUUGACCUAUAGCAACCAAACAUGGGCGUAGCUCAUAGCUAGAUGUAAUAAUCAUGGGCUCAAAGUCGAUAGAGGCAGGAUCCCCGAGGUGGAACCUAAUUGGUUCCCCUCCCUGGGUAGCCGUGUAACAGAACUGCCCAAUUUACAAGAGAUCAACUACGAAAAACUCCCGCCAAAGCAGUUGCUUUAACGUAAUCGAACUCUCAUAAACCCGGUAGUCCGUGAAAUCACGAGGGAUUUCAAACCAACCAUCUUACAAGCCAAGAUCGUAGUGAUUCAACAUAACAAGUCACAUGUUACAUCCAUUUCACAAGUAGUUUGAUAUACAUCAGAGUUCAAGAUAGUUAUUACAACUUAAGUUGAAAAGUAGCGGAAGCAAAGUAAUUUGAAACUAAUAUUGCCCUUAUUUCAAAUACAUGCCAGUAUCUAGGUCAACUCCAACAAAAGCAACAUAGAUGAGGUAACUAAGAAGGAUCAUGCCCAUGAUCUUACUCCUCUAAUAUGGUAGGAGUCAUCCAACUCUUGCAGUAGCCAUGAUACAUCACAACCUGCAACAAGUGGGAAUAAACCCUGAGUACGAGAAGGUACUCAGCUAGACUUACCCGUCAUAAACCAGAAAUAAUAUGACACCAAGGAGUAUGCAAGGCUUUAUUGGUGGGGCUAGCUUGACAACACUUUUUGCAUAAAAAGCUUAAGUUGCAACUAAGUAACCUUUCAGGUAUUUAGCUCAAGUUGAUAAUCAUUACCUGUCAUUUAUAUUAGCACCUGUACUAGAGCAAUCACUUGAUUAAGAUACAACAGUAGUACCCAUAUUUGAUGUGGCAUUUCUAACAUCAUCAUACCAUAACCAUCCAAGUGUUCCAUAAACAUUACUACGAUGACGAAGCUCAAGUCAAGUGCUCACUAUCCAGGAGCGAUGGCGAUUCGAAUCGAUUUCUGACCAGCUGGCGAGUUAUUCCCCACACAAACCACACUCACCGGCCAAAGUGAGCUACAGGUCACCAUAUUGCACUAUCCAGGACCAAUUCGCGGGUUCGGCAGGCACCGCCAGUACCCGAGGACCGUUCCGGCGACCGAGGUAUCCAAGGUAUACCAAGGUUGCGCGCCGCGCCCUCGUCGUUCUCCUCAACCAUCACCAAUACAGCGCAUGGCGGCUCGACUCCCGGCCCGGAUAGUGUUCAGGCUUCGCGGUCGGAAUGACUUAUCCUUCCAGCUAAGUGUGGGGCAUGCGUUCAACAUGACAAGAGGGCCGUCAACGAUCGGUCCUUAAUCGACACAAGCGGGGAUAGAUAGGCACCCAAGACCUUCAUGUCUUGUUACUUCUCUAUCAUCGUCCCGCCCGGUCUCCAAUUAUUCAUCCUCAUCACUUGGUUACUUCCAUGAUAGCAUAUAUAGCCAACCUUUUCAGGUGUCCACCUAUUUCGCUCAGGUGACAGGACAUCACCUGGCUUCUACCGGUCUAAGCAUAGCUAAGCAUUUAGAUUCGAUCCUGAAUCUACAUAGGGUUAUAGGUAUAUUUGCUGGACAAGGAGUGUUUAUGCAACAAGGGUUUCACCCAACUCCUAUACUUAAUGCAACAAUACAUAUAUAACAUAUAUUCUCAAUUGCAUUCAAAAGUAGUGGGAGACUUAUAAUGCUCCGGGGCUUGCCUGGGAUCAACACUGAGUCAGUUCAGUUAGUUGCUCCGUCUUGGUGACAUCUAAGGUCACAACACUUGCUUAGUCCUUCCACCUUUGGGAGAGGUCCACCAAACACCAUCUUUGAGUUUGAUUCGACAUCAUGACCUUCACGUGAUUCAUCUAGCGCACCUAGAUGAGAUGCAAGAUGCAAGUGCAUGAAUAUAAAGAAUAAUAACACAACAUGCAUCACAUAAAAGUAUGCAAGACAUAGGCAUCUAAAGUUAUUUAGCUAACAUCACAUGACCAAUUAUAUAGAGCAAACAUAUCAAUAAUGACACAAGUUUUACAAGGUUACAAGUGUAUUACUUAAUCACCAUUAAAGACAUAAAUCACAGUUUGCACACAACAAGUAAUGCAAUCAAGCAUUCAUGCAUUUUCAGCAAUUUUGGACAUACAUGCAACAACUCAGUAAAUAAAUCAUAACUGGAGUUACACAACUCCAAAAACUAUGCAAUAGGACAUUCUGGAGAGAAUAUAAAAUUAUCUACAAUUCAUCUUUAAUCAUAUUAGCAUGAUUAACAAGUUAACCAAGUCAAACAUGCAUGACCAUAUAAUCUGGUCCAGGAAUUUCCAGAAAACAAACAUUUCAAGGGAUGAACUUCAUACUACUGUAACUCACAAACCACUUAGCCAAAUGACAUGAAACUGUACAAAAAGAUAUAUUAGUAAGUUAUCUAUAUCUUUUAUAUAUACAAGUUUCACAGAAAACAACAUUUGUAUCAUGGAAUUAAUUGCACAAUCAAAACUGCUCAUGCUGCCCAAACAGUAGGGGUAUAAUUACAAACAGAAAACUGAUAGGCAAUUCAAAGCAGCAUAACCGGAGUUGUAUACCUCCAACCAACAUGAUUCUUAUAUUUUUGGAAAUCUUAUAAAGUUACCUACAACUUUCUUAUUAUCAUCUAAAUAUGAAUCUAGAGUUAACAAGGUCAAUUAAUCCCAUAAAGACAUCUCUGUCUAAAACAUAGACAGAAUCUGUCAUGCCACAUUAAACAGCUAUAACUUGAAGUUCAUAUAUCCAUAAUUUAUGAUUGUGUACUUUCUAGAAAUCUUACGAAAUUGUGAACAACUUUGUUAUAAACAUCUAGAGCUAAAUAUACAAUUAACAAGGUCUCACAUAACAAACAAUGCAACCCUGUCUGGGUUUAGACAGAAACUGGAACAGUACUUUAAACCACUAUAACUCAACAUGUGCUCAACCAAAAAUUGUGCUAUUUAUCUUUUUGGAAAGCUCAUGAAAAGUACUAAAACUUAUAUAUUUUUAUUAAGGCAUGAUUCACAACUGAACUGAGCCAAACAAUACAAACAUGCAGAUCCACUCAGAAUAGGAGCAAAGCAACACAGGGAAUUUGAUAUUUUUAUAACUGUUAAUCUGUCAUUCCUAAAUUCAUGUAAAUUUUACGAGACAUCACAUAUUAUAUGUAAAGCAUGCCACAAUAUUUUCACAUUUAUUGGAGCAACAACACAGCAGUUAUAAAAAAGACAAAUAUAACAAGCAAUCAAAACCUAACUGUAUAAAACUAUUUUUACGACUAAAAUAUCAAACUAAACCAUGCCAUAUUAUAGAUCUACUGCAUAGAGAAUUUCACAAGGAUUCCAAAAAGUCCACAUUUGCUAUUUUACGACUUUUCUAUGAAUUACUAUGAAUUUCUAAAGUUCAUCCAGAAAUCUGCACAAAGAAAAGAUAAAGGAAAACACUUUUGCUUCGGGAACCCUGGAGUUUCUUGAAAUCAACUGCAGUCCAGAUGCACUAUUCAUAUGAGUCUUGGCUUCGCAUCUGGAACCCUGGGUUGUUUCAUAUUUCAACACAAGGUCCCUGGUCGCCCAGAAAACAGAGGACUCGUCGGAGCUUCCUGUUCCGGCCGAAGGAGGGCACAUCGACGGCAGGGAAGUUGAUGGGGAGCCUCUGGGGGCCCGUGCGCACUCGUUGGUUGCCUCGAAUGGCUAGGAGAGGGCCGGUGGCAGCCUCGCCCUGUACCGCAACGGUAUGCAGAGGCGGCGGCUCACCGACGGCGGCGCUCCGAUGGCUAAAAGCUCGGGCGAGCGUGUGCGCGAGGUGGAGCACGACGAGGCAAAGGUGAUGGCGUACGAGGCGUUGGCUGUGGUGGCUUGGAGUGGCGAGAACGCGGACGGCGGUGGUGCUCACCUCGCCGGCAAUGGCGGCCGGCUCUGCGCGGACGAGCGGCCGAGGGGCGAGGGGUGAGCAAGAGAGAGUGCGCCUGGGAGUUCUGGAGCUGGGCGUCCACUUCUUGAGGGGGCAGAGGCGUUGGGCACGCGGCAGCAGUGCUCAGCCAUGGUGGGUGCGCGCUCUGGUGCAUGGAGGACGCGUCGGCAUUUCGUCGAACACGUGGCGGGCAACAAAGUAGCCAAGGUGGGACGCCGGUUUGGGCCAUUUCUGGGCCGAAUUGGACCUUGGGCCAAAAACAAAGUUUGUUCACCACGUCGUGUACUACAACUUUGAUUGAGACACCAAGAUCAUUAGACCAACAGAUUAAGAGAUAAUUAGAUGCCAAGUCACGAGUGUCAACGUAUUGACGGUGAUUAGCAAAACCAAGAAUUGAUGGUCCAAAUCAUGUCAAACUUGAUGCAACUUUUUGUAUGCUCUUCUCCAAACAAUUAUCCACAACUUUUAUUCUUGGACUAACUUGAGUUGCUCAACAAAAACACGAGAACGCGGCAUGCCAACGGGUUGACGCCCGUUUGGCGAUAAAAUAAUCAUUUGCUGUUUUGGGAGCUACUUUUAGAUAUCCAAAUGAACUUCCAAUUUGAUGAUACUUGAUCCAUUGCUUUCAUCAGGAAGAGUACUCCAACUCAUAUUAAGGAAUCUAAUUGAGUUACCAUAUGAAUUUGCAUAAUAAAACGUCACGAAGGAGCUAACUCACUGCUGUCCUUCUAGGGACUUAGAACUAUUUCUCAGGGCUGAAAAACAGCAGCUGAUUCGAACUUCGAGCCUCUGUUUGAACUGUUUGCAGGCUGAUUUGGUUCUUGACCUUUGAAUAAAGUUUCUUCUACAGAAGCAAAACCACAACUUUAAUUUAGGGUCAAACCUCAUAACUGCAACCGAAGUCAAUCUUUCACCUUGGUCAAAGCAGUAACCCGAUAAAGCUCCAAAUAGGGUUUUAGGCCAAUUCAAGCAUUUUCAUGACAUAAGCUCAACAUGAACCCUUCAUGACUUUUGUUGUAUAAUUCAUCUAGUGCCAUAUGAACAUGUUUUCAAGGGUUGUUUGAUGACCCAUGAUUCUAUUUCCUUAAUAGAGCCAUUCCGGCAAGGAUAUAACUUAUCAUUUCAUGUGACUUCUUGAUUCCAAACUUCACCAAACUUUUCCAUAGACCAACAUAGAUUGGGAUGGAUAUAAGGCACAUGGAAAAGGUUCCAUUAGCAUCAUCAAAGCAUACCUUUUAAAAAGGCAUAUAUGCAAGCAAGGUUGCAUCCACCAAGCCCAAGUUGGGGUUUACUUUCAUAGAUUGACUUUGACCUUCUUUAUUACCAUUGAACUUGUCAUGUUUGAGCUCAAAUCUAGUAUUUAGCAAGUGACAAACACCUGCGGUGUUACAAGCCGCCCCUGCCAGGUGGGGCGCCUGCCCCUGGCUGGCUGCCAGGAGGGCUCUACUUUGCAGGGUCGCCUUCUCGUGUCUUCUAGAGUAUUCCUGAGUUGACGUUUCACGUAUUCUCUUUAUGUAAUUCUGACAUGUGGACCUCCUUUUGUUCUUAUUCCGAUAACCCCUGCAGAAAUAGACAAUCACAACUUGUGGAAUUUUGUCAGUGAUAACCCUAUAUCUACUAGAUGUUUUGCAUAUAGAUCCGUUUUCAUGUCUAGUUCAUGGUUAAAAUUAGGAGUAAUCUACCGUCAAUAGACACCCAACAUUUCUGGCGCAGUGGCUGAGGAUAGGCUCUCUACGUACUCCUAGUGACUAUGUUAAGAAAUGCCUACAAGCAUUUCUAGCGCCGUUGUCGGGGAAGGCACAAAUGAUUAAGAUUCAUAAUGAUAUGUUCAUAAUAGUAUGCAUGCAAGGUAGCCAUUGUUUAUGCAUGCUAACUUUGCUUGUUUUCUCCUAUUGUGGGUGAAUACAGGGAUAGUGUAUGACCAGGUCCGAUCUGCCAGAGAACUUCAUCGAUAGCCCAGAGGCAAUCCUGAGGAGGAGUCGUACACGAACCACUUCCUCCCGUACCACAUCUCCUGCCACAUCUCCUCCAUCGAUAGACGAUCUCGUCCACCCUGAACCAUCCACUACUACCACUAUGGCCAAGACUCUCUACAAAUACUCUGUUCCCGAUGUUGCCAAUGUGUCCAUCGGGCCCGCUGUCGACACUGGGUACAAAAACUUUGAGCUCCGCACUGGCCUCACCAUGAUGGUGCAGGCAAACCAAUUCCAUGGUUUGCCAAGCGAGGACACAAACGCACAUCUCCAACACUUCCUCGAGCUCUACAACACCAUAGUCAUCAAAGACGUCGCACCUGCAAGCAUAAAGCUCUGUCUAUUUCCCUUUUCCCUAUGGAGGAAAAGCGAAACAAUGGUUCUACAAGGAAAAGGAAGCUGUCAACAUGUGGGCCAAAUGUUCCACAGCGUUCCUCGCCAAGUUCGUCCCCGUGAGCAAAACCAAUGCCCUAAGGAGAAGAAUUCCCAACUUUCAGUAGAACACCACCGAGUCAAUUCUAGAGGCAUGGGAAAGACUACAAGACUACAUCCAAGCAUGCCCACACCACGGCAUCGAUGAUUGGUUAGUGCUCCAGUAUUUCUAUGAUGGGCUAACCCAGAUGUGUAGGGGGCACAUUAACGCUGCUGCUAGAGGAGCCUUCCUCUCCCUCACCAUCGACAAAGCCACUGCACUGAUCACUAAGAUGGUGAUGAACAAGAGCUGGGGGAGGAAAGGAAAACACAAAAAGGGAUGCAUACCGUUAAAGAAACAAAUAUGCUGGCCGCAAAAAUAGACUUGUUGAUGAAAAGGUAGAUGAUCAUGCCCAAGAGAAGGAAUCCAUAACAAGCACCAUCAAUGCCAUAGACUCACGCAUGACGUGUGAGUGUCUGUGCAAACGUUGGCCACUCAGGAAACGACUGCCCUAAAACCCGAGAAGACGUAGCAUUCAUCAACAACGGGUUUCCAACCACGUAAUACGGGUGGAACAACCAGCAACGUCCAUCCUACCAAGGUAAUUCGAACGACAAUUCCAAUUACAAUUCGAAUCAGCCUUCAUUAAAAGAUCUAGUGCUAGGGCAAGCCAAAAUUAAUGAAAACCUUACUAAGAAACUUGCUCACCAUGAUAAAAAUAUAAAGAGCAUAAAUUUUAAACUCAAAAACUUGACUUCCUCUGUAAAUGACCAAUUAAAUUUUAAUAAGAUACUUGAAAAGCAAUUGGCUCAAAUCGCUGCUGCUAUCCCCAUUAAUAAUAAUGGUAAAAUUCCUACUCAAGCGGAAAAAUCUUGCGAAAACAUGAAUUUAGUGACCACGAGGGGGGGCUAAGACCACUCGUGAGCCAUCAUUUUCCUAACCAAGGUGCAGGAAAAUAAAAAGGGCGAAAAGAAGUAGAACCAUCAAAAGCACAUGAAGAGGAGGUAUAUGAAAACAAGACGGCUCCACAAUGAUCGAGAAGAUACAUGUGAGCGUCCCUCUUAUGGACGUUUUACAUGUACCCUCAUAUGCAAAGUACAUCAAGGACAUUAUCAACAACAAAAGGCCACUACCAUCCACGGUAGUCGUAAAACUGACAAAAAAGUGCAGUGUUGACACUUGCUAACACCACUUGAAUACUAGGUUGUCAUCCCUAGCAUGACACUAGAGUGUACUAUGGUAUUUAUACGCACACAGAUAAUCCGCAAGCGCACGGAUACCGUUGUAGCUUUUACCCGGUUAAAGGUUUUAUCGUAUCCACAGGGAAACGGGAGAACCAACUACGCUCUAACUUAACCAAGAUAGAUAGAUAAGUGUAAAUAGGAAAGAUGGUAGAAUUGAAAAAGAACAAUAUUAAAGGUAAAAUAACAAUGGGUGAUAAUGUAACACCCUAAAAUUUACUCCUUUUGAAAUAUAGAUAAAAUUAUUUAAUUUUAUAUUUUUGUGCUCAUGAAAAUAUAGAAAAAAUAAUAUAUUUUUUUAAAAUUAAAAUUUAUCAUAAGGCUUAGCAAUAUUAUUAUGCAUACAUGCUGGUGCAUAUGUUUUGAUGUGAUGCUUGUUGCUCCUUUAUGUGUUGAGUGAGCAAAGUUUUUAAAAUACGUUUAGUAGAACGAUCUUCCUUGUUGACCAGUACGUCUUUAUCUUUAUCAACAAAAUUUCUUGUUUCUCAACUCAAGUUUUUAUUAGGAGCUUCCUAAAAUCUUUUCUUUGUCACUCAAAGCACUUCUUUUAGUUCCUCGUCCAUCAAGCACUGUCAACAAAUUUUUCGGGAAUUUUUUUCAGCUUCUGUUCUCACUUUUCAGUGAGCAUGAUCUAAUUUUUAGAUGCUCCAAACAAUCUUCUCAUGAGCUCCUAAAGCUUUAUUCGGGUUCCCCAUGUUCUAUAAUAUCUCUGAGAAUUUUUCCUGAAUUUUCGAAACUUUCGGAGUAUUUUUCAUGGCUUCAAUCAUAAUUCUGGACUUUUCUAGCAUUAUUUUAUUCGCCAAAUUACUUAAUUUCGAAAAUAAUAAAAUCUUUCAUUUUAUCUCACGCUCAAACCCAUGAUCUUAAUGGUCAAUGUCUUUAUUUACUAAUGGGCUUUAAUAAUUAAUUAGGCCUAUUAGUAAAGAUGAAGGUUGCAAAUCAAUUAGUACCAUAUCGCUAGUUGACGUGGAGGUGGGGAGUUUUUCUCCCUAUAUGUACCAACCCCUUAGGCAAAGCACACCAAAACUACUGUAAAGGGACCCUAGUUUGGGAAUUUCUAAGGUAGUAAAAAUUAUAUUUUCCUCCUUCUUUCUCUACAAAGUAAUCUGCAAUGUCUCGCCUCUACACAUCGUGCACCACAAGGCCGAGCCGUCAUCACCGUACAUCUGGGUUGGAUGAGCGUACGAGUGGACAGCUGUUGUGGCGUUGGUCUAGUUCUAGAAAAACUCCGCUGCCGGUGAACUUGAUCCCCAUCAACCAGCGCUAGUAAGUCUCUACAUAGACUCCAUUGCUUCACAUUUUGGUUUCGAUUUAGCCUUUGUUGAUGACCUCUUUCAUCCAAUGUUAGCCGUCCCUGGCCUCUCGCCGCCGCCGCCGCCACUCCGUCCAUGGUGCGACCUGCUGUCGGAGCUGCUAGGCCAGGAAUCUAGCCGCUGCUGCUAUGCCGAUCAUGAUGCCGCCUCGGUUCCGUCUCCGUUCGUGCAUAGUGCCUAGAGGUGAGCCCUCUGAUCUCUCCUCUUUCUCAGUGCUCUCUAUUUGGUCAACAAGACACCCAGAUCCUCUUCUAGGUUUCGCUGACGUGCUCUUCAUCAUCGUCCAUGGCAACCAUCAUGGCAUUCCAUCACGCUAGCCCUUCACUAGUGGCGUUGUGCCCAUCUCACAGAGGAGACAAGCACGCAGGAGCUCCCAGCACUCGCCCUCCACACGCAUGCAUAGGGGCCAUGUAGAAGCACAUCGGCGGUGGUGUUGUCCUGCCGCAAUGCUUAAUUAGCCAGCAUUGAUGACAUCACAUGUGGUCAUGCAUGGUUUUCAGGCCGCUUUCUUUCACAAAAACAAAUCUUCAAAUACAACAAGAAUACAUAUAAACAAACAAUCAUUCUGAGCCGUCCGAUCUGAGAUCUAAGGCCCAGAUUAGAACUUACCCCUUCAUUGAUGUCUUGCUAAAGAGUCCUUCGAAAUUUCUAUGAAUUAAUCUCCAGUCCUUUACAUGUUUAUAAAAUACGUUUUGUCGUUUUGAAAACGUAAUCUGUCUCAGGUUAAAUGAAAAAUACGUUUUCUCUAUUUACAAGUUUGUCACUGAAACUGUUUUGCUCAUAAAAUGCUCGUUUUAACUCCGAUUUGACCCAAUCGAAUUGCGUUGGAUUCGAAAUCACAAGAUCUACAUGUUAGUAAUAUUAUUUACUCAGUUUGAAACUUUUAAAUUUCGUGACUUUAAUUAAUUAAUUACUUUUCUAUAUAAAAUAUUAGAAAAUUCAUAUCUUCUACGUUUUAGCUCCGAUUUUCGUGAUCUUUACGUUCGUGGAAUCGUAGCGAUGCGUAGAAUCAUUUUAUAAACUUUUCCUACUGUUUUUAUAUGAUUGGUGUAUUGUUCUAAUUGUAGCCUUGUUUGCUUCGUGUAUGUUUUCUCCGUUUGUUUGUGUUAUCGAUGAUCGAGUUUAGCCGGUGAGCAAUUCGUGGUGAACAAGAGUGCUUGAGUGAUCAAGAUGGGAAUCUUGGACAACUAGCAAGAUCAACAAGAGCAUUUGGAUUAAGGCAAGUAUAGCAUUUGGAUUAAGGCAAGUAGAGCAUUUGGAUUUUAUUUCUGUGACCAUGAUCCUGUGACUAGAUUAAUGUUAAGUAAUAAAUGAUAAAAAUGACUUUUUAGUCACUUGAUGAUUUGUCUGUACGUGAUCACCCGGGACAACAGUGCAACCAUGAUGGCUAUAAUGGCUCUGGCUUUAGCUCAGUAUGAAGACCUUUUCUAGCUUGUUAGAGGUUACCUGAAAGGGCGGAGGUGCUGAACCGUUUUGGGUAUAGUGUGGCCUCUGUCUGUAUGUGUAUAGGCUGCGCGUCAUUGUGCCAUCGAAAGGGGGGCUCUAUAUCUGCACGCAAAGGAAACCUUGCGGCCCUAACAUGUUAGACGAGCUUUUGAAAGGCUUCAUAGUGAUCCCCGCCGACCUUCCUUGGAAGUGGGUUAAGAGGCUGAUCACCUCGGCCGAAAGGGUAAAUCAUGACUCAUGGGUAAAGAUGUACAACCUCUGCAGAGUGUUAAAACUAGUAUACUAGCCGAGCUCACGAUCAGGAGCGGCCUUGGGACUUCUACAUUAAGGGUGAUGAUUCUUGUGUAUUAAACAUGCUUAUUAUUUAUUGUUUAAUGCUCUACAUUAUUUAUGUCACAUUGAUCAUGAGAUUGUGGGAUAUAUAUAAUCUAGUUGCUAUACUUGUGGAGUUCGACAUGGACUCACUCUUGCUAUUACCCCCACACCUCAGGAGAAGUUUUAGGCUUGUGAUCAACCAAUCAGUUGGAUCCUGUAGAGUGGAGUUAAUACCUAAAGUUGGAGUUAUCUUCCAUUGUUUGUUGCUUAAGGUUAUCUCUAAUUUAUUAUGUACAUUAUAUAAUAUUUUUUGCAUUGUCUUUUGAUAUUACCCCUUAUUGUAGCUAUAUGUGGGAUUUGACUUCUAAAACUCACAUAUGGUGCAUAUCUGAUUUUGUCCUUAAAAUCGGGUAUUACAGAUAAUAUGGGAAUAGAGAGUAGAGCAAUCUAGUAUAUGGGCGAUGGUAGCAGAAUAGAGAGGAUAACUAUGGUUUCUCUACUUCAAAGGGGUAUGUCUAUGUCUAGGACGAACCACGUGAUAAGAAUACACCACAAAGGAUGCUUAUCCAUAGGCCGAUAAACCCUACCCUUCCUGCUAACAGGAGGUGGACUACAGGGGACCAACGUAACUAUCACCUACGCGGCCUACCACACGAUCCAACUAGACAGGGGAUAUUCACAAGUAAUCUAGGUCUAAGCACCACGCUUACACCUAUACUACAACUCUAACCUAUAGGGUCCUAUAGAUUACUCCAAACCCUAUCUUUUGCUCUGUCUAUGAAUAGGGAUCAAGGGGUUGCCUCCUCCAGGGGCCAGGGGGUCUGCUUAUAUAGUCCCCUCAAGUGAAUCUAGGCCGUCGGAUCAAAUCGACAUUGAUCGAACGGUUAUUCUUGAUCCUUUAGGUCGGUGGAGCAUAAUCCCCAAAGAGAGUCCUGAUUUGACUCUGGGACAGGGCGGGCGCCCAAGGGGGGAGGGCGGGCGCCCUGCCCCCGAGCCCGCUCGGCCUCCCAUUCGUUCCCGUGGCUUCUGGAGUCUUCUAGAUGAUAGUAAAUUGCACGGCACGUUAAUAUCUCUAUGUAAACCCGACGUGUGGGCCUUUCUUCUGUAUUUCCUGAUAACCCCCUGCAGAAAUAGACAAACACCAAAACUUCUGGAAUUCUGUCAGAUAAAACCCUAAGUCUAGGUGUUGGUUGCAUUCGGAUCCUUUGCUUUAUUUAUUUGAUGAUUAUAUUUGGUACUUAAGGACCGUCAACAACUCCCCCAACCUUACCUCUAGCUCGUCCCUGAGCAAGGAUGGACUCAAGAGUUUCUGUAGUGGUUUUAUGCCUUAAAGGUACACAUGCGUUUAAACAAGAUCUCAUCUCUAGGUUAGGGUAAACUGUUAAGAUUUAAAACUUACUCAUUUUACCUUCCACCAUGGGGCUUGCAACCGUCACUUGUGUCUUGAGCAGUUAAAAGAUAGAACGGUCAAGUCAAGCACCAUGUCUUUUGUUCUUUGAUCAACUAUAGCUCUAGAGUUUUUGCAGAUUUUCAAAUAAAACUCAGAGGUUCCUUGUAUGACUCUUUCUAGUCUCUCUUUUGUGGUAUUUCUGGAUCCUUACCAAGGCAGUGAUGAUAUAUGCCUUUUCUCAAAGUAUGUAGUAUAUGUGGUAUGAGGCAUAGUGACAUUGGCUUCUCUCUCAUCCUACUCUAAUAAGGUUUGAUAUCUGGAGCUCAUAGGUGGGAGAUAGCUAAUACAUACUUACAAGACAUUUAUUGCAUAGUCAAACCAUGGAUCCAGAGAAACAAGUCAAUAAGGCAAAUCAAGAUGUGCAUGUGUGGCGAAUGAAUGGUGAUAAUGGUGAAAACAAUGGUGAAAGUCUAAUUCUACUUUUGCUCUUUUGAGGGGAUACAUACCUUUCUUGCACUUUGAAGCUUUUUGAGGGGAAUGAGAUGCUCUAUAUUUUCUUUUUCUUUUCUCUCAGGUGGGUAUCUUGUACCCCUAAUUCUACUGUCAGACACUUGUCCAUUUUUACCUCUCGUCUCACUUUUUAUUUUCUUCAAGGUUUCGGGCACUUGCCCCUUUUUAUUUCCUCGUAUUCACUCUCUUUUUUUUUCUUUUCUUUUUUUCAGAGCACUCACCCUCCUAGAAUAAUGUAGCAAGUGGUAGUAACCAAAAUAUCAAGAGCAUUUAUUUCACAGGGAAUAACAGGAAUAGGAUAAUGUUUUUGGCUAUUCUCUCCUGGAUAGGAGUACAAUAAUUUUGGGUAAAUCUGGAGAUAGAAAUGAGUGGAUGUAUGUGGAUGCGUACUUCCAGAGUAGAAGUAGCAUGUAUGAGUGAACGUGCAAGUGAAUCUUGAUUUUAACUGCAUGACAAGCUCCUAAGGGUCUACACAGCUUGACCACACUCAAUGCUCAUAAGCAGUAAAAAGUAAAUGUAUGGUUCAUAGUCUAAUAAGCAUGUAUAUAUGGCUGUGGUAGGAUUUUAAACUCUCAUCAUACAGGAACUCAUCAUGCAAUAUUUUAAAGAUUUUCAAAGAUAAAAUUCUCCAGAAUUCUAGCAUCUCUAGGAACAGAUAAACAACAGCUCAACCUUCCCAUAUCAUAUCCGUUAACGACUUAGACUUUAGAUCAAGCACUCUUCCCACAAGUUCAGGUUUAGAGCAAAUCUUAAUUCAUAACAGUCAUACCUAAACUUGAGAGAGAUUUCACUUUUGAGAACUAGUCAUGGCAGAGCAACUAUUCAUCAUUUCCAUGUUAGAGCUUAUCAUGAGGGUUCAUAGCAAACUUUAUUUAUUUAUUUAUUUAGCAAACUAAGCAAAGAUAUAUAUAUAAGCAUAAAAUCUUUAUUUGGGUUUUUUAUGAUUCUGCAUCUUUUUAUUAUUUGAGUAAAGUAUAAACGCGAGUAGAAACACUUAGGUGGAUAAAUGGGGGUGCUCUCCCCCAAACUGGAUUUUGACGUAAUUUCUUCUGAUGUAGCUAGCAGGUGGUGGAGGUGUAUUUGAAUGUCGGCAGCACCCUGACAGCGAAUAGGAUGUCCUCCGUCUGCUAGUCUUCUUUGAUCCUUGAAUUCUAUGGAGCUUAAAUAGACAACAAAGCUUUGUGGAACUAGUUAAGUGUUAGCAUAAAUAUCUAGCCUUUAUCAUGUUGAGCUUCCUCUAAUAAUUAUUACUCUCUUUGGUAGGAUCAUAAAUUUAUUUUUAUAUUUUCAUUUUAUAGGACAAGAAUAUAUUUAUUUUAUAUUUACGCCACCACAGUAAAUGUAUUUAUGGGUUUUAUGCCACGAGCAUACUCACAUGGGGCUUACUAUUUUUAACAUUUUUAUUUUCUUUUCAAGAUAGCAUGAUUAACUAAUAAGCUAUUUAAGGAAAGUAAGUAAUUAAAGUGAAAAGGGAAUGCAGAAAGGAUAAAUAUGGAUAACUACCGAUUUUACCUUUCGGCGAGGGUUCAAUGUUUUAAGUCUUCUGAACAAGACUUCUCACCGUGUUCAUUCUUCAGGUGCGUCAUUUGAUUCAGGUGCGGACCUUGACGUAUGCACCUCUUGAUACGGUGUCACCCAUGUUCUUCGUUUGCCCAGAAGUUCGAAGUGCGGCGCUGGCAGCAUCCUGCUCAGUGUGUUUGUGCUCGUAAAUCCAGGUCCUUCACUUGGUAGAGUCCGAGAGUUAUAAAAGUCCUCCAUGUUUUGCUCGAAGUGUACCUGCUCAUAGAGACAAGGCAGAGAUCAAGUGCAUGGGUCCUGUUGGUGGAAAACACCAACGGAACCAAAAAGUGUGUUUGUUCUUCUCUAACCUUAAGCAUAGUGAGCAAGACAAAGUUGAUAAGUUCAUGAGUGUAGCACUUAUAACAUUUGUCAGAUCAGAUCGCUCAACCUUAUGGAAAGAUAAUCUAUCUAUGUAUAUGUCUUUUUCUUUAUAUCUCUCAAAGAUUGAAUGUGU